UCUGGUGACUAUAGCAAGGAGGUCACACCUGUUCCCAUGCCGAACACAGAAGUUAAGCUCCUUAGCGUCGAUGGUAGUC
rnacentral:rRNA from 1 species